CACAGGAAUAACCAUUUUAGUGCUGUGUGGGACUGUCCUGGCAUUACAGGAAGUUCAGCGUCCCUGGCUCUUAGACAUGAAAUUCUGUUAGCAUAUUUCUGUCAUUGUAACAACGCAGAACAUGUUCCCACGCGUUUCCAAAUCCUCCCUGGAGCAGGACGUGAUCACCCAUGGGGAACCAUUUAUGCAGUGAUAAACAUGAGUUUAUCUAAUCAGAAUUUAUAUGGAUACGUGAUGCUAGAGAAAUACAGCAACUUGAGCUCUAUGAGUAAGAUUGUCUACCUGCAGAUAAUUUAGAAUUUGCCCUCUGAAAUCCUCGCCUCCUCCCGUGUACAGUUCUGUUGGCUGAAUUUCUGCUAAUUCAUGAGGGAGCAGUUAGCUCUCUGUCUUCCCCGUCCUGCAAACUAUCACAGUUUGCCCUUCCUAGAACUGCUUCUCUGAGGCAACUGGACUUGAAUUCUAGAAUACUUUCAGCAUGAUCAUAUACUAUUUAUUUCCUUGUAAGCAGGCCUUUUUUUUAAGUCAGACAAUCUCCUCUUUGGAGCAAAGGAAGGAACCACAAGAAAUUGUGAGGGAUGGGACAAAAGGACAUCUCCGUUGAGUGGAUCAUCAUCACAGGAGUGGAAGCCAUUGCAGCUGCUGUAGUCUUCCUGAAGAAGGAUAGCUUCUGAUUCUUCAAGCCAGUUAUACCUGCUGAUUUUUAGCUGUCCUGUGUGGCACUGCCUGGGACUUGCCCUCAGGCAAAAAGAAAUGGAAAAGUAGGGGCCGGCUCCAUGGCAGAGUGGUUAAGUUCGCUCGCUCCGCUGCGGCGGCCCAGGGCUCAGAUCCUGGGCACCGACACGGCACUGCUGGUCAGGCCACGUUGAGGCGGCCUCCCACAUCCCACAACUGGAAGGAUGUGCAACUAAGAUAUACAACUGUGUACCAGGGGCGGGGGGGUUGGGGAGAUAAAAGCAGGGGAAAAAAAAAAGAAAUGGAAAAGUAAAUGUGGCAUGUUUAUAUGAGGAAAAAUAAAUGUGGCAACAUGACACAGAAAUGAAUAAUCUAGAACUACAUGCAACAACAUGCAAUGGGUGAAUAACACAGACAGUGUUGAGCAAAAGAAUUAGAAACAAAAGAGUAUAUACUGUAUGAUUCCAUUAAUAUAAAAUAAGAAGAUUGUGAAACUAAGCAUUGCUGUUAGAAAUUUGGGUAGUGAUCAUCCUUGGUGAGUGAGAAAAAGAAUAGAAGAGGUAAUUUUGGAUUCUAGUAAUGUCCCGUUUCUUGAUCUGGUUACUAAUUAAAUAAAUAGAUGUGUUCAGUUUCUGAAAAUUCAUGUAGCAGCACACUUAGGCUGUGUGUGCUUUUAGGAAUGCACAUUUCACAUCAAAGAAGCUACUGUUACAAAAUCAGAGGGACUUUCUGCUCCAAAAUGUAAAGAGCUGAUAAGUCAUCACUCCUGUCCUCACAGCAAGAAAAAAGCUAAACAAACUGAAAAGUAACAGCUCUUAUAUCCCUCAGAGAACUGAGUUACAUAACAGGGCAAACCUAUGGUCUGGAAACUGGAGAGACAGACAAAGAGAGUUGCAGAUUACCUGGAGUAGAAGCUGCUGGAGCCAGGAACUGGAAGGAAUUGAUGAACUGUUGGAAACUGAAUAUGGACUAGCUUGAGAGUUAAAAACUCUUCGGGGCCCCCACCGUUUCUUGAGUUUUACCUGCAACAGCAGCACCAACUUCCCAGAGUGAAGAUCAGAGAAAAACCCCCUCAUGCUUCUAGUAGGGGGAGGGGAAAGUAACCAUUUUGAAAUAUUUCCAGAUAUUCUGUUGUCCGCCUGUCCUCAAGGGAAACUGAUGUACCAGAGGCUAACCAAUGUGGAGGGAGGGAAAUACCCAGCCCCCUCUAGCCCUCCUGUGUCACCUAAAGCUGGUUGGGGGGGGCGGUGAGGAGGGACCUUAAAAGAACUUGCGAAGGUCACAGUCCAGGGUAACAGGCAAACUAAAAGACUAAGACCUAAUUAUACUAGUCUAAAAUGCUUCACCACCCCUACACUUCCACUGCAUAAACAAGGACUCUUGUAUGAGAACAGGGUUAUACCUGAAAAAAAAAAACAUGAUCAUCUCAAUUGAUCAGGAAAAAUACUUGACAAAAUUCAAUACUCUUUCAUGAUAAAAACAUCAAACAACAAAAUCCCUGCAAGUUAUUUUGUGGAUAUCAACAAACUGAAACUAAAGUUUAUAUGGAGAGGGCAAAGACCGAGGACACUCAACACAAUAUUGAAGGAGAACUAAGUCAGAGGACUGAUACUACCGGACUUCAAGACUUUCUAUAAAGCUACAGUAAUCAAGAUGGUGUGGUAUUGGUGAAUGAAUAGGUAAAUAGAUCAAUGGGACAGACUAGAGAGCCCAGAAAUAGACUCACACAAAUAUAGCCAACUGGUCUUUGACAAAGGAGCAAAGGCAAUACAAUGGAGAAAAGAUAAUUUUUUCAACAAAUGGUCCUGGAAUAACUGGACAUCUUAAGGCAAAAACAUGAAUCUAGAUACAAACCUUACACCCAUCACAAAAAUUAACUUAAAAUGGAUCAUAGACCUAAAUGUAAAAUGCAAAACUGUAAAACACCUAUAAGAAAACACAGAAUAAAAUCUAGAUAACAUCAGGUGUGAUGAUGACAUUUUAAAUACAACACCAAAGGCAUAAUCCAUGACAGAAAUAAUUGAUAAACUGGAUUUCAUUAAAAUUAAAAACUUCUCUGUGAACAAUACUGUCAAGAGAAUGAGAAGACAAGCUACAGACUGUGAGAAAACAUUUGCAACAGACGUAUCUGAUAAAAGACUGGUUAUCCAAAAUAUACAAAGAACACUUAAAACUCAAAGAUAAGAAGACAAACAACCUGAUUUAAAAAUGAGCAAAAGACCUGAAUAGACACCUCAUCAAAGAAGAUAUACACAUGGCUAAUGAGUGUGUGAAAAGAUUUUCAACACCACAAGUCAUAAAGGAAUUGCAAAUUAAAACAACGAGAUGGCACUACACACCUAUUAGGAUGGCCAAAAUCCCAAACACUGACAACACCAAAUAUUGGCUAAGAUUCGAAGCAACAGAACUAUCAUACAUUGCUGGUGGGAAUGCAAAAGGGUACAGCUACUGUGGAAAGCAGUUUGACAGUUUCUUGCAAAACUAGACAUAUUCUUACCAUGCAAUCCGCCCAUCGUGAUCCUUGGUAUUUGCCAAAAUGAGUUACAAACUUAUGUCCAUAUAAAGACUUGCACAUGAAUGUUUAUAGCAGCUUUAUUAAUACUUGCCAAAACUUUGAAACAACCAAGAUGUCCCUCAGUAGGUGAAUGGAUAGACUGUGUCAUAACCAGACGAUGGAAUACUAUUGAAAGCUAAAAAGAAAUGAACUACCAGGACAUUAAAGGACAUGGAGGAACCUUAAACACAUAUUACUAAGUAAAAGAAGCUAGUCUGAAAAGGCUACAUACUGUAUGAUUCCCCACUAUACGACAUUCUGGAAAAGGCAAAACUAAGGAGAUGGUAGAAAGAUC
rnacentral:lncRNA from 1 species